rnacentral:rRNA from 1 species
AGCGAACGCUGGCGGCGUGCCUAAUACAUGCAAGUCGAGCGGGCCUCCGGAGGUGCUUGCACCUCCGGACGGCCAGCGGCGGACGGGUGAGUAACACGUGGGCAACCUGCCUUUGAGGCCGGGAUAACACCGGGAAACCGGUGCUAAUACCGGAUACGUCCUCUUUCGCGCCUGCGAGAGGGGAGAAAGACGGUCUUUAAGGCCGUCGCUCCAAGAGGGGCCCGCGGCGCAUUAGCUGGUUGGUGGGGCAAGGGCCUACCAAGGCGACGAUGCGUUGCCGACCUGAGGGGGUGAUCGGCCACACUGGGACUGAGACACGGCCCAGACUCCUGCGGGAGGCAGCAGUAGGGAAUCAUCCGCAAUGGGCGAAAGCCUGACGGUGCAACGCCGCGUGAGUGAGGGAGGUUUUCGGAUCGUAAAGCUCUGUUGUGAGGGAAGAACAGCAUCCGGAGGAAAUGCCGGAGGUUUGCCGGUACCUCACCAGAAAGCCCCGGCUAACUACGUGCCAGCCGCCGCGGUAAGAC